rnacentral:snRNA from 1 species
AGCUUUGCGCAGUGGCAGUAUCGUAGCCAAUGAAGCUUACCCGAGGCGCGAUUAUUGCGAAUAGA